UGAAGGCGGCCGCGAUGUUGAUCC
rnacentral:siRNA from 1 species